GUCCAGUCUGUGAAAUGAAGGUAGGAGUUGACAUGGUUGCGCAUAUAUCCCUGCAGCAUGAAAAUAUUUUCAAGAUAUCCUUCUAUCUAUCAUGUUAAAAUUAGAUUCAUACUUUAUUUUUUCCAUUGUAUGAUAUUGCUCUCAUUAAGUUCUUUUUUUCACACUCAUGCUCUGCAUAUAGUUUUGUUCCUUGGGGAUCAACUUGAUUCCAGACCUUUAUUCUAUCAGUCCCUUGUUUGUGUCACUACUAUUGGAAUCGUUUAUGUUUUACAAGAAUAGAAUGGAACCUCUAUUAGACUGUGAAAUAUAAAUAUAAAUUGCCAACGAAGUUUACUCUUUGACUUUUCUUUCUUAGAAAGGGGAAAAAGUUAAAGACUUGUUUGUUUUCUGAUAUUUACCGGUGAUUUUUGUUUAAUUUAAUUUUCUUUUUCUUCUUGUCCUUUUUAUCCAUUCGCUUUCUAACUCAGUGCAUAUAAUGUGCAGUGGUUUUGGCAAACUAUUGUUUUAGGCUUCAUUUUCCUAUUGUUUCUUCUAGAAACAAGGCAUAUAUGUCCUUCACAAGUCGGAACCACUAAAUUGAGAGUUAUGAUGUGGAAGUAUCUUCUUUGAGGCAUGAAAUAAAAUAGUUAAAUU